GACGAACGCUGGCGGCGUGCUUAACACAUGCAAGUCGAACGAAGUGGCGAACGGGUGAGUAACGCGUAAUCAACCUGCCCUUCAGAGGGGGACAACAGUUGGAAACGACUGCUAAUACCGCAUACUGAAGGAGGGGAUUGCGUCUGAUUAGCUAGUUGGAGGGGUAACGGCCCACCAAGGCGAUGAUCAGUAGCCGGUUUGAGAGGGUGGACGGCCAACUUUGGGCUGGGACACGGGCCAAACUUCCACGGGGAGCAGCAGGGGGGAAUCUUCCGCAAUGGGCGAAAGUCUGACGGAGCAACGCCGCGGGGGUGGUGACGGCCUUCGGGUUGUAAAGCUCUGUUAAUCGGGACGCGGUACCGGAAUAGAAAGCAACGGCUAACUACGUGCCAGCAGCCGCGGUAAUAC
rnacentral:rRNA from 1 species